UUUACAGCAAAAAGUAAAGAAGUAAAAGAAAGAAAGAUACAUAAGGAAAUAAUGCAUAUUAAAAAAAAUUGUUCCAAUUCUUUAUAUAUAUAAUUAUUCUACGCAACUAUAAACUUGAUAUUUGCUGUAAAAUUUUGAGAGCAUAAAAAUUUCUCUGUUAUUUCUCAAGGUAGGCUGACCUCAAUUUUUGGGUGCUAAAUAAAUACAUGGAUGAUGACGGGCAAUGUACUGUUACAAGAGUUCUCCUUGCUUCAAAAUUCAGGAAAAUGUCGUAAUUGACUUAUAUUGACUGUAACUGGUACGAGCGCUAAGGGAUAUGUUCCAAAUUUCUUAAAUUUUGGGUAAGAAAUGCGGCUUUUUUGUUGAAUCCAUUUAAUCGGAACACAGGGCUAUGUGGCAUCUGCAUGCAAAUAUGGUAGAUCUGGUCCCUACUCAGAUGUUGAGGGGUCCAGGCAACUCACAGUAACGGCGAAAAUUGCUCGCAUUUCUUGGCUCAACAUCGGAAGAUGGCUUUAAACAAACUCGGCACGGUUGUUCAUUGAAAUCGGGGCAAAAAUACGACUUUAUGAAAUCAAGAUUUCUUAUCCGGAGAUUGGUAAUAAAGGUGCUAUAUUAAGA